UACGAAGGGGGCUAGCGUUGUUCGGAAUUACUGGGCGUAAAGCGCACGUAGGCGGACAUUUUAAGUCAGGGGUGAAAUCCCGGGGCUCAACCCCGGAACGGCCUUUGAUACUGGGUGUCUUGAGUUCGGAAGAGGUGAGUGGAAUUGCGAGUGUAGAGGUGAAAUUCGUAGAUAUUCGCAGGAACACCAGUGGCGAAGGCGGCUCACUGGUCCGAUACUGACGCUGAGGUGCGAAAGCGUGGGGAGCAAACAGG
rnacentral:rRNA from 1 species